CACUUGCGAAGGGGGAUAAUUCCAAAUGACUUCUGCACAAUAUAAGAAGUGAAAAUGUGUAACUGGAAAGAAACUUCGUUUUCUUCCGAAGGUGCCAUAAUCUAGCUGCAAUCAGUGAAUAAAAAUGAAUGAUAAAAGACCUGAGAGGAAUGAUUUUUUUUAUUCAUUCCUGACUGGAGACUUGAUAGAAAUUCCAGAAAAAGCAAGGCUUGGUAGAUGUCGAAGUGUUACAGAUUUUGAAAAGCUGAAUCGAGUUGGAGAAGGGACAUAUGGCAUUGUUUAUCGUGCAAGAGACAUAAGGUCUGAUGCAAUUGUUGCAUUGAAAAAGAUGCGGAUGGAAAGAGAACGUGAUGGAAUCCCUAUCAGUGGUCUUCGAGAAAUUAACAUACUUCUAAAUCUACGCCAUGAAAACAUAGUUGAACUACAAGAAGUGGUUGUUGGUAAAAGUCUUGACAGUAUAUUUCUAGUGAUGGAAUAUUGUGAACAAGAUCUUGCCUCUCUGCUUGAUAAUAUGCAGGCUCCUUUUUCAGAAGCACAGGUGAAAUCUAUAAUGCUUCAAGUUUUUAAAGGACUUCAGUAUUUGCAUGAAAACUGUAUUAUCCAUCGAGACCUUAAAGUUUCUAAUCUUCUUAUGACUGAUGAAGGUUGUGUAAAAAUAGCUGAUUUUGGACUCACUCGGAAAUAUUGUAUGCCUAUGAAACCAAUGACUCCAAAAGUCGUUACCUUGUGGUACCGUGCCCCAGAAUUAUUGUUUGGCUCAAAAACUCAAACAACAGCCAUUGAUAUGUGGUCAGUUGGUUGUAUUUUUGGUGAGUUGCUUGCACACCGACCUCUAUUGCCUGGAAGAGGAGAAAUUCAUCAAAUAGAACUUAUUAUUGAGAUGUUUGGAACACCAAAUGAUGCCAUCUGGCCAGGAAUGUCCAAAUUGCCAGCUCUUGAACAUUUUACUCUAAAAAAUCAACCUUACAACAAUCUACGUCAUACUUUUCCAUGGCUCUCUGAAGCAGGUAUACGUCUUUUGAAUUUCUUGUUCAUGUAUGACCCAAAUAAGAGGGCCACUGCUGAAGAUUGCCUUGAGAGUUCUUACUUCAAGGAACAGCCAUACCCAUGUGAUCCAGGCAUGAUGCCAUCAUUUCCACAGCACCGUCUGAAGAGAAGAGCUGCACCUAGAAAAAUUGAAGAGAAGAGGAAAGCAGAAUCUUCUUUUUCAGAUUUUAAAGUAUCUAGUUCAAAAAUUAUUAAUUCCAGAAUAAAAUAUGGAGAAAAAGUAGUGAGUGAGAGAUGUCAGUUAUAACUAACAAUGGUUAUGCGUGUACAAAUGCACUUACUUACAUAUGAUAUGCGAACAAAAAACGUAAACAGUAGGAACCCAACACUAAAAGUGAUACAUUUUAUGUAGUACCAAUCUUUAUCUCAAAAUUAAAUAAUGUUUUCUUCAAAGAAGGCUUGGGAAAUAUUUAUUACCACCAUACCAGAUCUGAUGUCUGAAUUCAGUGCUCAUUUUGUUUUACCUUUUGUUUGUCAAAGAACUGGAGCUGAGUAGAAACUAAAACAAUUACUUCGUGGAAUAGACAUAUUAGCCAUUUAAGAACAAAUGAAGACUAUAACAGUUUCUAUAUAUUCUUAAAUGGUUAAAUUGAUUUUUUUUUCCCCACAGUGUAAUUGUAAGUUGAAAGUUUGUAAAUUUGAGUUAUUUUCAAGGCAGUGAGCUGGUAGAAACGUUAGCAUGCCGGACAAAAUGCUUAGCGGUGUUUUGUCUAUCAUUACGUUCUGAGUUCAAAUUCCACUGAGGUCGACUUUGCCUUUCAUCCUUUCGAGGUCGAUUAAAUAAGUACCAGUUACGUACUGGGGUCGAUGUAAUCAACUUCAUCCCUUUGUCUGUCCUUGUUUGUCCCCUCUAUGUUUAGCCCCCUGUGGGCAAUAAAGAAAUAAAUAUUGAGAUAUUUUCAUGUGGAAACAUUCACUCACCAUUUACCAGUCUUCAGUUAAUUCAUUACUCCAGUUCUUUUCUUACCUGUUCAACUUCCAGCUAUGUGGAGAACAGGAAUUAAAUUUUCUUUUUUAAUAUCUUGCUCAAGUUACAAGUGCCAUGCCAGUGAUUAGAACUUUCCAUCGUCAUUUGCUGAGAAUAUUUGAUCUAAUCAUUAUGGAUUAUGAAAUCACUCCAUAUUUUCCUGGGAUUUCAGUGCUACACCACUUAAGUGUACUUUCUACUGUUAAGUAAGAGAGAGAGAGAUAGGAGCGUGAGUGAGGUUGUAUCUUCUUACCCAGGCUAAUAUCAAUGACAGGACAUGAUGUUGUGAUGUUUCAGCUGAGUAGCAAACACUUUAUCAACUUCGCCUUUGUGAUUCAACUUUGAAAGAUAUCAGCACUAAUCUAUGUUUUUUUUUUUUUGUCUUCAUCAACACUAUCUUUCUUUCAAACAUUACUUUUGUUUGUUAAGAAGGAACUUCUACUACAAAAACAUAUACAAUUGAAAAGAAGAUUACAAAUAUGUAUGAAAUUCUACCGAUGUUAUAAUGGUUGAAUUUGGCAAUUAAUUUAAAAACUACAAAAUGAAAAUAUGUUAAUAAACUUUUUAUAUAUAACAAUGAGAA